AAUAAGGAGAAGGCAGAGGAAGAAGAUUUGGUCCUUCAGAUACUGCAAUCAUUUAUUUCUCAAAGUGAAUGGGUUUGAAAUGAGAAGGCAGAGAAAGAAAAUCAGGCCCUUGCUGCAGCUAUUUGUUUGCCAAAUGACUUUCCAAUUUCUGGUUCCAGUGUUAUGUUGCUGCAACAGAGGUUGCAAACAAUGCUCACCAACAAAGUUCCAGCUGAGGCGCAACUUGGGAAGUCAGAACCUUCAUUCCCACUGGCUCAGUUCCUGAUUUUCAAACCUUCUUGGGACAAGAAGGUUCUAAAGGGAG
rnacentral:misc_RNA from 1 species